rnacentral:lncRNA from 1 species
CGAUGCCCAUAAAAUUUUUGUCCGCAUAUCAGGGCUCCGAAAUUCGCACACACACCUCGCGUUAAAUAUAAAUAGUGGGGUUAAUUAAUUGUAUACAGCUUAUUGUAACUAUAUUGGAUAGUAGAUAUAUUUCUAUAAAAUUUAAUUUUUUAUAUUUAUUUCUGUAAAAGUUUUAAUAUUUUCAAAUAUACCACUGCUGUUAGGAUCUGUUAGAAAAAUAUAAUUAAUUAUAGCUAAAAUACUGAAUCCUGAUUAGUGAAUGAGGUAAAUUGAUCUUUUUAUCCCUCUUAUAUUAUUUGUGAUGGUAGAAAGGAAGAAGAUGACCAUUAUAAAUUUUUAGGAAUAUAUUUUUGUAUAAUUCUAACAGCUGAGGCUCUUGAAGUGACAUAUUUGUGAUGACAAAAAUGUCAUUUUACUUAUCUUCUGUUAAAAAAUAAAUAGUGCUUUAACGGUAACAAACCAGAGAGACAAAUAUUAAAAUUUUGCAAGAAUAUAGUUAAACUUUGUAGGGUUAUAUUUACUAUUUGCUAUGUUUACAGAAAGCUUUCUUGCCUUUAGUCCGUCGAAAGUCCUUCAACUGUCAAAGUGUUAGAUCCUCUAACGCUCAGAAAUACAUAACAGUUAAUAAAUAUCUAAUUUUCCAAAUGUUUCUUCUAAGUAAAUUAGUUUUCAAAAUUCUACACUCAAAUAGUAUAUAUAAAAUUGACAGAUCGAUCGCAUCAUAAAGGUGGCUUCUGAAGGAGCCACGUCUCCAUUAUAGCCCCCGGCCAAUAACAACAUGCAACGUACUCAAUAAAAAUUUUCGAUGCACCAAUUGCACAGUUGACGAAAUAUAAAAUAUGAAUAAAAAAUAAAUUUUUAUAAUAUAAUAAAUUAUUAAAAUAUUUUAUAUAUUAUAUUAUACUAUAUCAUAUUUUAUUUUAUAAUGCUAACUAUUAGGUAUUUUAUCAAUCAUCUAAUAUACUUACAAUGUAUGAAAUAUUAAUAGCUUUUCAAAGAGCCCAAUUCAUAGUUAAGUAUUCUUUAUACUGAAUGUAUAUAAUUACAUAUACACCGCAUACUUCAAAUCUCUGAUAGUGAAUUUAAAAUUUAAUUCAGUAAAUAUAUUUAAAUUAUUAGACUUCAUAGCUUAGAUAUAUUUAAUUAUAUUUUGAUAUUAGAAAUUAGUUGUCUGAUAUAAAUUGCAGUAUAUGGUGUGUUAUAUACACCAUUUGCAAAUAAUAACAUCUUUUUUCAAUAAAUUUUAGUAAGGUAACGGCGAUCGUAUGUAUUUGACAAUUUAAAAUAAUUCCUCCAAUUUUAACUUCUAAAUUAAAAAUUCAUUUAUAAAAUAACUACUAAAACUAUUAAGUUUGACUGAAUUUUUAAAUAAAGUUAUUAAAAUACUAUAACUCUACUAAUACUGAAAAUAAAAAAUAUUAGUAAAAAAAAUAGUUUUUAUAAUAUAUAAAAGGAUAUAUAAGUUUGUUUUGUAUUUUUCGUUAUAAGUUUUUUCAAUUUUAAAAUUUUAAAAAUUAUAUAUAUUAAUU